AUUGCUUCUCGGUCUUUUGGCUAAGAUCAAGUGUAGUAUCUGUUUCUAUCAGUUAAAUAUGGUAACAAACUACAGUAGUCUUAUUGGUACUUGUGGCUUAGUCACCAAUAGAAAUCAAGAUAACUUCAUAUAACAUUGUAGUUACCCCAGAUAUCUCAAUAUAUUUGCCCUGAUAGCUAUUGCAAAAUUAUGGAAGUUACUUAACUUGCCAUUAGAUCUUU
rnacentral:snRNA from 1 species